rnacentral:misc_RNA from 1 species
GAUGAAGAACGCAGCGAAAUGCGAUACGUAAUGUGAAUUGCAGAAUUCAGUGAAUCAUCGAAUCUUUGAACGCAUAUUGCGCUCUUUGGUAUUCCGAAGAGCAUGCUUGUUUGAGUAUCAGUAAACACCUCAACCUCUUCUUGAUUUUUCAAAAGGAGGGUGGACUUGAGCUAUCCCAACAACCUUUACCGGUCGGCGGGCGGCUUGAAAUGCAGGUGCAGCUGGACUUUUAUCUGAGCUAAAAGCAUAUCUAUUUAGUCCUCGUCAAACAGGAUUAUUACUUUUGCUGCAGCUAACAUAAAGGAUAAUUGUCCUCUUUGCUGACUGAUGCAGGAUUUUACGACACUUUAUGUGUUGUUCAACUCGAUCUCAAAUCAAGUAAGACUACCCGCUGAACUUAAGCAUAUCAAUAAACGGAGGA